GGGGGGGUUUGGUGUGGGGGGUGAGGAGAGAGAAGAUAUCUGGUGCCUUUACUUCAAAGUAAUAUAAUUCUUGUAUUUCGAUUUAAUCUUUUGUUACCACUUACUUAAAACUUGGAAUUUACUUACUUCAAAUACUAGUUCUGCUGGAUAUAUCUUCCAAAAUUUCAUCCAAAUAACUUCCCAUUGUCGUUGUUUCAUUUGUCCAACUUCUCAUGAUUUUUGAAAAAGUUGUUGCAUUGAUCCCAAUUUCUUUUCUUUUGGUUUUUGUCUUACUUUCUCUUAAUAUAUGGUAUUUCUUUGAGAACAAAGAAACAAAAGCAUCUUAGAAGCUGGUGUUAAAUGUUGGCAAUCAAAUGUAAUAUUUUUCUCACCAGAGUCUUGGUCCAGGCUUUAGCUUUCAGAGUAGAAUUUGUGUGCCAACUGUUUAGAAAGAGUUGCAUCGCGGUCUCCCUUCUGUGCACAAACUCUGACACAUUAAAAUAGCACUUUUGCCAAAAAUUGGAAGGCAUAUGCUUAUUUUUGCAGCCGCAUUUUAUUAUCGCGGCUUUUGUCAACCACAAAGCUAAACUGGCCCUUAGCAUAGAUGAAACCUUAAGAGAUACCAAUGGCUAGCAUCUCUUUAGUUCUACCAAGCUCUUGAAUAUGUUUUGAAUUACUAGGCUACCCUACUCCUCCAGGAAGAAGUGGAGGUUUGACCAUUGUAAUUUGAUGGAAACAAUGUAUUGUUUCAAUAAAGAGAUCAAAAGGAUGAAUCUAAUGUCGAUUCUAUCCCUUAUUAAUUCAUGGAGUAUAGAAACUUUGGUUGGGGGUUUCAACUGAUUUAGGAUUUCUUUCAGUUUAUUUGUUAAUUAUUUCUUUUUCCACCCUUAAAAAAAAGUGAAAAAAACUUUCAACUGAAGGUUCAUAUUUUUCACCUAUAAUGUCUCUUGGCCAUUCAUGUUAGAGAUAAAGCUUUGUUUUCCAGCUUUGAAUAUACUUUGAAUGUAAAUGGCGUUUAAUAUUAGUAGCAAGGGCUUUACUUUAAAAAGUAAAAUAUAUAUAUAAAUGCAAUAUUUUAAUUGGUCAUAUUAAAUGAUUCCAUGCAGUGGAUUUGGAUAAGAAAGCCGAGGCAGUUGAUAGCUCUGUUGAAGGAAAAACUGUUUCAGUAGAAGGAAUUGUAGAACCAUAUGUGGGUAUGGAAUUUGAAUCAGAAGAUGCUGCCAGGAAAUUCUACAUUGAGUAUGCCAGAAGGGUAGGUUUUGUUGUGCGUAUUAUGCAACGACGUCGUUCUGGGAUUGAUGGGAGAACACUUGCUCGUCGACUUGGAUGUAAUAAACAAGGUUUCUCACCUACUCAUAGGAGCACAACUGGACCAGAUAAGAAGGCACGAUCUAGUGCACGAGAAGGUUGCAAAGCGACAAUCCUGGUGAAAAUGGAAAAGUCUGAGAAAUGGAUUGUUACAAGAUUCGAAAAAGAUCAUAAUCAUCCUUUGGUCGUUACUGCCAACGGGUUCAGUACAGCGGUUAGUAUCUUCACCCCUUCAUUUUAUUUUAUUUUUUAAUUUUUUCCUUUUCCUUUUCUUUUGUGACAAAGCAUAUUGACCCUUGUGGACUAUCAUGUGGUUAUUUUAUAUCAUUUGCAAUGCCAGUGCAUUUCAAAUAUUUAGGACAAGUUUGUGUGAUAUAAUUCAAUGCAAAGUUCCUACCAAUAAAAUAAAUAAAUAAAUAAAGCUACUCUUUAUGUAAUUACAGAAUUCCACAGGCAGUCAUAAGUGUUCCACUAGUGUUACCUUCCUGAAAAAUGCUCAAACCAAUAAUUAAAAUCAAAGGCUCAUAUAAUAUGUUAUCUAUCCAUAUGUUUGAAUUAAUGGCACAUUCCACACUAUAUUAAAACGUGCCAUGAGUUUAUUUACUCCAACACAUGAGUUUAGCUCCUGAGAAUGAAUUGGCUGAAAAUUUGGCCAUUGAUAAUUCAUAAGCAGUUUCCUGAUCAGUGUGUUGUUUGUAGAACUAAGAAUUGUGUGAUGCUUUUGGAGGUCUGACAACUACAUUGGUAAAGUACAUAUGUGCCUAAAGGGACUUCAUUUAUGAAUCAAGUGGCAUCUACGGAUAGCAUUGGCUGGGUCAAUGUAAUUCCUUGUUUCUGCAAUAACCAUUUCAUUGAGGCAUGCCAGUAGGUGUAUGCUCUUUAUCUUCUUUGUAAUUUCAUGCAACUUAAUUUUGUAUCAGGUAAAAUAAAUGUUAUAUAUACUUCAGGGAGUUUAAUCAGGAUAAUCAGUUUGACUUAAGAUCUUUGCACUGAUGUUUCCAAUUGUUGACCCUAUUGUAACGUGUAAGGAAGUCUAUGGAUCCUUAUCAGAUGCCUGCCUUUUGCAAGGCAGUAAUAAUAAUCUCAAACUAUUUGUUUAACAGUUCAAUAAUUUUAGGGUGAUGUGAGUAGUGACUUGUGC
rnacentral:misc_RNA from 1 species